rfam:Puccinia triticina 1-1 BBBD Race 1 supercont2.82, whole genome shotgun sequence.
CCUGUCAUCGUCUAGUGGUUAGGACACCAGGUUUUGAAGUAUUCGGCGCCUCGGGUCCUGGUGACCUGGGUUCGACUCCCAGUGACAGGU